rnacentral:piRNA from 1 species
CGAACUAUGAAAAAUACCGCAUCACGG